GACGAACGCUGGCGGCGUGCUUAACACAUGCAAGUCGAACGGAAAGGCCCUGCUUGCAGGGUACUCGAGUGGCGAACGGGUGAGUAACACGUGGGUGAUCUGCCCUGCACUUCGGGAUAAGCCUGGGAAACUGGGUCUAAUACCGGAUAUGACCUUCCAUGUAGUGUGGGGGGUGGAAAGAUUUAUCGGUGUGGGAUGGGCCCGCGGCCUAUCAGCUUGUUGGUGGGGUAAUGGCCUACCAAGGCGUCGACGGGUAGCCGGCCUGAGAGGGUGGACGGCCACAUUGGGACUGAGAUACGGCCCAGACUCCUACGGGAGGCAGCAGUGGGGAAUAUUGCACAAUGGGCGGAAGCCUGAUGCAGCGACGCCGCGUGGGGGAUGACGGCCUUCGGGUUGUAAACCUCUUUCGACAGGGACGAAGCUUCGGUGACGGUACCUGUAUAAGAAGCACCGGCUAACUACGUG
rnacentral:rRNA from 1 species